AUAUGAAAAUAUAAUCAUAUAACAUGAUUAUAAUUAAGUAUCUCAAGUAUAUCACAUAUGCAUGAAAUUUUAAUAACAUGCAUAAAUAUAAAAUAUUUUUUUCAUAGUUCUUCUUCUUGGGACAUCACAGUGGUACCCCUACACACCAUAAGAGCACCUUAUGGAAUAGGAAGAGAGGAUCUUUGAACCCUACUUGCUC
rnacentral:lncRNA from 1 species